rnacentral:rRNA from 1 species
AUGGCUUGGAGUUUCCACUUUGUUCCCUUGCUCCUCCUCCUCCUGCUCUCCAACACUUCCGCAGUGGCCACCUCCGGGCACAGCGCCGGCAACGCCACCGCAAGGCUGAGGCCAGGGAGGGAGCCGCUCAAGCACCGGAGGAUCAGGGCUCUCCUCGGCAGGCUCAACAAGCCCACCCUCAAGACCAUCAAGAGCCCGGAUGGUGAUUUAAUCGACUGCGUUCCCUCCCACCUACAGCCCGCGUUUGACCACCCAAUGCUCAAGGGACAGAAGCCUCUGGACCCGCCGGAGAGGCCCAAGAACUACAACUCCACCAUUGCCGGAGCGGUGGUGGUGCAGGCGUGGCAUGCCACCGGCGAGGCCUGCCCGGAAGGGACGGUGGCGCUGCGGCGGACGACGGAGAAGGAUCUGCUCAGGGCUAGCUCCCUCAGGAGGUACGGCAGGAAGCCGCCACGCCGGACCACCCGCCGUGAUUCCACCAGCAGUGGCCAUGAGCACGCGGUUGGGUACGUGAAUUCAGAGAAAUACUAUGGGGCCAGAGCGAGUGUUAACGUGUGGUCACCCAGGAUAGAUGACCCAUCUGAGUUCAGCCUGUCGCAGAUCUGGGUCAUCUCCGGCUCCUUCGGCCACGAUCUCAACACCAUUGAGGCUGGAUGGCAGGUCAGCCCGGAGCUGUAUGGAGAUAGCAAUGCUAGGUUCUUCACUUACUGGACAACUGAUGCGUACCAAGAGACGGGGUGCUACAACCACAACUGCCGUGGAUUUGUCCAGACGACCAACAAGAUAGCCAUCGGCGCGGCUAUCACGCCACAAUCGGUGUACAACGGGAGGCAGUUUGAUAUUAAUCUGAUGAUAUGGAAGGAUCCCAAGCACGGGCACUGGUGGCUGGAGCUGGGCCCGGGCAUGGUGGUCGGCUACUGGCCGUCCGGACUGUUCACCCACCUGGCGCACCACGCGAGGAUGGUGCAGUUCGGCGGCGAGGUCGUCAACACCCGGCCGCCGGGGUCCCACACGGCGACGCAGAUGGGCAGCGGCCACUUCCCCGGCGAGGGGUUCGACCGCGCCGCCUACUUCCGGAACCUGCAGGUGGUGGACUGGGACAACAGCAUCAUCCGGGCGUCCGGCCUCAAGCUCCUCGCCGACCACCCCGGGUGCUACGACAUCCAGGGAGGCUCCAACGGCCGCUGGGGGACCUACUUCUACUAUGGGGGGCCAGGGAGGAACGUGAAAUGCCCCUGA